GACAGAGGUCCCGAGCGUUAGGCGGAAUCACUGGGCUUAAAGCGUGUGUAGGCGGAUCGUUAAGUGCCUUGUGAAAUCCCAUGGCUUAACCAUGGAACUGCUCGGCAUACUGGCGAUCUUGAGCCACUUAGGGGCAACCGGAACAAAUGGUGGAGCGGUGAAAUGCGUAGAUAUCGUAAGGAAGACCAGUGGCGAAGGCGGGUCUCUGGACAGUUCCUGACGCUGAGGCACGAAGGUCAGGGGAGCAAACGGG
rnacentral:rRNA from 1 species